GGCAGCAGUGGGGAAUCUUUCGCAAUGGACGAAAGUCUGACGGAGCAACGCCGCGUGUAUGAUGAAGGUCUUCGGAUUGUAAAGUACUGUCUUUGGGGAAGAAUGAUUGAUUUGAAAAUAUUGAGUCAAUAUGACGGUACCCAAGGAGGAAGCCCCGGCUAACUACGUGCCAGCAGCCGCGGUAAUACGUAGGGGGCGAGCGUUGUCCGGAAUUAUUGGGCGUAAAGGGCGCGUAGGCGGAUAGUUAAGUCCGGUGUGAAAGAUCAGGGCUCAACCCUGAGAGUGCAUCGGAAACUGGUUAUCUUGAGGACAGGAGAGGAAAGUGGAAUUCCACGUGUAGCGGUGAAAUGCGUAGAUAUGUGGAGGAACACCAGUGGCGAAGGCGACUUUCUGGACUGUAACUGACGCUGAGGCGCGAAAGCGUGGGGAGCAAACAGGAUUAGAUACCCUGGUAGUCCACGCCGUAAACGAUGAGUGCUAGGUGUAGAGGGUAUCGACCCCUUCUGUGCCGCAGUUAACACAAUA
rnacentral:rRNA from 1 species